CCUACGGGAGGCAGCAGUGGGGAAUAUUGGGCAAUGGGCGCAAGCCUGACCCAGCAACGCCGCGUGAAGGAAGAAGGCUUUCGGGUUGUAAACUUCUUUUCUCAGGGACGAAGAAUGUGACGGUACCUGAGGUAUAAGCGUCGGCUAACUACGUGCCACCAGUCGCGGUAAUCCGUAGGUGGCAAGCGUUAUCCGGAUUUAUUGGGUGUAAAGGGUGUGUAGGUGGGAGCGCAAGUCAGAUGUGAAAAUUCAGGGCUCAACCCUGAGCCUGCAUUUGAAACUGGGUUUCUUGAGUGCGGGAGAGGCAAUCGGAAUGCGGGGGGUAGCGGUGAAAUGCGUAGAUAUACGGAAGAACACCAAUGGCGAAGGCAGAUUGCUGGACAGUAACUGACGCUGAGGCGCGAAAGCGUGGGGAGCAAACAGGAUUAGAUACCCCAGUAGUC
rnacentral:rRNA from 1 species